AUUGAACGCUGGCGGCAUGCCUUACACAUGCAAGUCGAACGGCAGCAUGAUCUAGCUUGCUAGAUUGAUGGCGAGUGGCGAACGGGUGAGUAAUACAUCGGAACGUGCCCUGUAGUGGGGGAUAACUAGUCGAAAGAUUAGCUAAUACCGCAUACGACCUGAGGGUGAAAGUGGGGGACCGCAAGGCCUCAUGCUAUAGGAGCGGCCGAUGUCUGAUUAGCUAGUUGGUGGGGUAAAGGCCCACCAAGGCGACGAUCAGUAGCUGGUCUGAGAGGACGAUCAGCCACACUGGGACUGAGACACGGCCCAGACUCCUACGGGAGGCAGCAGUGGGGAAUUUUGGACAAUGGGCGAAAGCCUGAUCCAGCAAUGCCGCGUGUGUGAAGAAGGCCUUCGGGUUGUAAAGCACUUUUGUCCGGAAAGAAAUGGCUCUGGUUAAUACCUGGGGUCGAUGACGGUACCGGAAGAAUAAGGACCGGCUAACUACGUGCCAGCAGCCGCGGUAAUACGUAGGGUCCAAGCGUUAAUCGGAAUUACUGGGCGUAAAGCGUGCGCAGGCGGUUGUACAAGACCGAUGUGAAAUCCCCGAGCUUAACUUGGGAAUGCAUUGGUGACUGCACGGCUAGAGUGUGUCAGAGGGGGGUAGAAUUCCACGUGUAGCAGUGAAAUGCGUAGAGAUGUGGAGGAAUACCGAUGGCGAAGGCAGCCCCCUGGGAUAACACUGACGCUCAUGCACGAAAGCGUGGGGAGCAAACAGGAUUAGAUACCCUGGUAGUCCACGCCCUAAACGAUGUCAACUAGUUGUUGGGGAUUCAUUUCCUUAGUAACGUAGCUAACGCGUGAAGUUGACCGCCUGGGGAGUACGGUCGCAAGAUUAAAACUCAAAGGAAUUGACGGGGACCCGCACAAGCGGUGGAUGAUGUGGAUUAAUUCGAUGCAACGCGAAAAACCUUACCUACCCUUGACAUGCCACUAACGAAGCAGAGAUGCAUUAGGUGCUCGAAAGAGAAAGUGGACACAGGUGCUGCAUGGCUGUCGUCAGCUCGUGUCGUGAGAUGUUGGGUUAAGUCCCGCAACGAGCGCAACCCUUGUCUCUAGUUGCUACGAAAGGGCACUCUAGAGAGACUGCCGGUGACAAACCGGAGGAAGGUGGGGAUGACGUCAAGUCCUCAUGGCCCUUAUGGGUAGGGCUUCACACGUCAUACAAUGGUGCAUACAGAGGGUUGCCAAGCCGCGAGGUGGAGCUAAUCCCAGAAAAUGCAUCGUAGUCCGGAUCGUAGUCUGCAACUCGACUACGUGAAGCUGGAAUCGCUAGUAAUCGCGGAUCAGCAUGCCGCGGUGAAUACGUUUCCCGGGUCU
rnacentral:rRNA from 1 species